rnacentral:rRNA from 1 species
AUGAACGCUGGCGGCGUGCCUAAUACAUGCAAGUCGAGCGAACGGACGAGAAGCUUGCUUCUCUGAUGUUAGCGGCGGACGGGUGAGUAACACGUGGAUAACCUACCUAUAAGACUGGGAUAACCUCGGGAAACCGGAGCUAAUGCCGGAUAAUAUUUUGAACCGCAUGGUUCAAAAGUGAAAGACGGUCUUGCUGUCACUUAUAGAUGGAUCCGCGCUGCAUUAGCUAGUUGGUAAGGUAACGGCUUACCAAGGCAACGAUGCAUAGCCGACCUGAGAGGGUGAUCGGCCACACUGGAACUGAGACACGGUCCAGACUCCUACGGGAGGCAGCAGUAGGGAAUCUUCCGCAAUGGGCGAAAGCCUGACGGAGCAACGCCGCGUGAGUGAUGAAGGUCUUCGGAUCGUAAAACUCUGUUAUUAGGGAAGAACAUAUGUGUAAGUAACUGUGCACAUCUUGACGGUACCUAAUCAGAAAGCCACGGCUAACUACGUG